AAACUAGUUGAUCCUGCCAGUAGUCAUAUGUUUGUCUCAGAAAUUAAUCCAUGCAUGUCUAAGUACAUAUCUUAAAACGGUGUAACCGCGAAUGGCUCAUUAAAUCAGCUAUGGUUCCUUAGAUCGUAAACGCUACAUGGAUAACUGUAGUAAUUCUAGAGUUAAUAUAUGCCUUGAAUCCCUGACCCGCAAGGGGACAGGUACAUUUAUUAGAACAAGAACACAAGACCAUCAAAUAAGAAAAUGAAUAUUUUCCCUAAUUCGUUAGUGAUAAUGAGCUAUUUCAUUGUUUUAAAAUUGAUCAGAUUGUAGAUUUUGUGGUAAUUUUGUUAUUUUCAGAAGGGGGGUUAUGUGGAGAUUUUAGUAAUUUUUUUUAUAUAGUUGAGAUCAUGAGUCAAUUGAAAGUAGACCACCAUGGAAAACUUGGAGGAACUGGACGGCCGUUUUGUCCUAUUGUGGGACUGCUCAGUGACAGUGAGUAUCCAAGAUCCCGCCUCGAGAGAUACGAACCCAGAACCUACUAGUCUCGUGCUAGAGCACUUCACCGAUAGACUACUGAGCCGGCAUGCAAUGGUGUUUAUGUCUAACUUCUACCAAUCCAGGAAUUUGAACAACCGUUCACUAAUUGUCUUCAGUGAGUUUCUAUCUCACAACAGACGUGGUUUGUUUUAAUACAUCAUUAUGACUUAACAGUCUUCCAAAGUUUGUUUAAUUACAGUCAUUCAGUCAGCUACAAUGUAGGACCAGGAACAUAUAUGCAUC
rnacentral:ncRNA from 1 species